CAGGAUUUGCUGCCCCAGCUGAGCCGCGGUCCGGGCGCUGUCACAGGGCACGGCCGGGUGUCCGCGGCUGGCACAGGGUGGCUCCGGGCACCCGAGCAGCCCACAGUCUCCACAGCCCAGGAGAAGAGCACGGGACAGGGAAUGCCUUUGCCUGCUCCAUGCCUGGGAAGGGUCGCACCAGCCUGAGCCACGCCACAGGUUCCAGUCAGCGCAGGGAUAGCUGGGGCCAGGGCUCCUGAUGCAUCAGCACAGGUUCCAUGGCAGGGAUCACCAGGAUCUGGGCUCCUGCUGCUCCCAGACCCUUAACCCCCUGCAAUCUUCAUGCAUGUGGUUACCCCUGAGUCCCUGCAGGCAGCCACAGGCCCCCAGCUCAGCCUGUGCUCUGCUGGUUUUAGGCGCAGAAGCCUCUGCUGAACAGCAAAGUCACAGUGAGAAGGUCUGAAAUGCUUUUAACCACUGCUUGGAAAAGUGGGUAUGGCCCCAGUGCUCUGCCCUUGUGACACAAGGGUCUGCUAGAAGCCCAUCCUGUGCUGGUUGUGUUUGAUCCUGUGCUCGGGAGGAGAAGACCCAGAGGUCAAAGCUGGGAUCACGCUCAGCCCCCGCGGGCUCGGCUCCGCCGCCCCGGGCAGAUGCGCGGAGCUGCCGGAGAUGCCCCUGGGUGUUUGUGUGGCCUCCAGCUGCCGCUCCAGGAGGGAGCAAAGCAGCUCCUAGGGGUCCCCUGUCACAUCUGCCAGCCCCGGGCGGAUGCCUCGGGUGCCUGAGGACCUCUCCCAGCACCACACGUCUAGACGUGAUCCCAGCGGAGGCUCUGUGGUGCCUGCUGACAGCUCCACCUCUUUUUCCUCGGCUGUGAGUGAGGGAUGUUCCGGUGACUCUUUGGCAGAGGAUGUGGAUCCCAGGAGCGGAACCACGGGCCUGGGAUGGUCACACUGAGCCCUCCUCCCGUGCCUGAGCUGUGACUGGGGCCGCCCCAAGGCCUGGAUUCCCUCUGUGGGCUCUCCUGCAGGUGCUGCUGCCUUCAAGUGAGUUAAUGGGAGGUUUGGGACCCUUCCAGUGCCAGGAAAAGGUGGUGACCAGACGUGCUGCUGCUGCUGCAGGUCUCUGGAAUGCCCUGUGGAGUGUCCACGCAAGGUGUGUGGAGCCACGAACCUCCUUUCCCAAAUGGCCUCUUUUCCAUGCACGGGUUUGUUUCUUGUUUCCAUCUGGAGCCUAAAUAGCAAAAUUCCCAUCGUGGGCGAGACAGAGCUGGGAUCUGCUUCCACCUGAGGUGUGCGAACUCCUCCUGCUGAGUUUCUCCAUGGUGACAAACCCAUCAUUUUCCCCUGAAUUUUCCAUGUAUCAAAUAAAGGCCUCAACUUGGA